UACGAAGGGGGCUAGCGUUGCUCGGAAUCACUGGGCGUAAAGGGUGCGUAGGCGGGUUUUUAAGUCAGGGGUGAAAUCCUGGAGCUCAACUCCAGAACUGCCUUUGAUACUGAAGAUCUUGAGUCCGGGAGAGGUGAGUGGAACUGCGAGUGUAGAGGUGAAAUUCGUAGAUAUUCGCAAGAACACCAGUGGCGAAGGCGGCUCACUGGCCCGAUACUGACGCUGAGGCACGAAAGCGUGGGGAGCAAGCAGG
rnacentral:rRNA from 1 species